rnacentral:rRNA from 1 species
CAAUAGCGUAUAUUAACGUUGUUGCAGUUAAAAAGCUCGUAGUUGAAUUUUUGCUUGCCGCCGAUGUCGGAACUUCCGUACGUUCGGCGGCGUGCAUCCUUGGGUGGAACCUGUGUGGCAUUAGGUUGUCGUGCAGGGGAUGCUCAUCGUUUACUGUGAAAAAAUUAGAGUGUUCAAAGCAGGCUUACGCCGUUGAAUAUAUUAGCAUGGAAUAAUAAGAUAGGACCUUGGUACUAUUUUGUUGGUUUGCGCACCGAGGUAAUGAUUAACAGGGACAGUUGGGGGUAUUCGUAUUCCAUUGUCAGAGGUGAAAUUCUUGGAUUUCUGGAAGACGAACUACUGCGAAAGCAUUUACCAAGGAUGUUUUCAUUAA